rnacentral:rRNA from 1 species
AGAGUUUGAUCAUGGCUCAGGAUGAACGCUGGCGGCGUGCCUAAUACAUGCAAGUCGAGCGGUAAGGUUCUGCACUCAGUAUUUGACGCUAGUAAGUCCUCUCGAGGAUACUGCUUGCAGCGAUUGUUCUCUAGGCUAGAGAACAUAGUCGAAUUAUGAGUGUAGAAUACACGAGCGGCGGACGGCUGAGUAACGCGUAGGAACGUACCCCAAAGUGAGGGAUAACUGCUCGAAAGAGUAGCUAAUACCGCAUGUGCUCUAAGGAGUAAAGCUUCGGCGCUUUGGGAACGGCCUGCGUAUGAUUAGCUUGUUGGUGAGGUAAAAGCUCACCAAGGCGACGAUCAUUAGCUGGUCUGAGAGGAUGAUCAGCCAGACUGGGACUGAGACACGGCCCAGACUCCUACGGGAGGCAGCAGUAGGGAAUUUUCCACAAUGGGCGAAAGCCUGAUGGAGCAACGCCGCGUGCAGGAUGAAGGCCUUAGGGUUGUAAACUGCUUUUAUAUGUGAAGAUUUUGACGGUAGCAUAUGAAUAAGGAUCGGCUAACUCCGUGCCAGCAGCCGCGGUCAUGCGGAGGAUCCAAGCGUUAUCCGGAAUUACUGGGCGUAAAGAGUUGCGUAGUGGCANUAGUAAGUAGACCAGUGAAAUUGUGUGGUCAAC